rnacentral:rRNA from 1 species
GACGAACGCUGGCGGCGUGCUUAACACAUGCAAGUCGAACGGUGAAGGGAUCAGCUUGCUGGUUCUGGAUGAGUGGCGAACGGGUGAGUAACACGUGAGUAACCUGCCCCCUUCUUCUGGAUAACCGCAUGAAAGUGUGGCUAAUACGGGAUAUUCUGCGCCUGCUGCAUGGUGGGUGUGGGAAAGAUAUUGUUUCGGUGGGGGAUGGGCUCGCGGCCUAUCAGCUUGUUGGUGGGGUGAUGGCCUACCAAGGCGGUGACGGGUAGCCGGCCUGAGAGGGUGGACUGUCACACUGGGACUGAGACACGGCCCAGACUCCUACGGGAGGCAGCAGUGGGGAAUAUUGCACAAUGGGCGCAAGCCUGAUGCAGCGACGCCGCGUGAGGGAUGGAGGCCUUCGGGUUGUGAACCUCUUUCGCCAGUGAAGCAGGCCUGUCCCUUGUGGGUGGGUUGACGGUAGCUGGAGAAGAAGCGCCGGCUAACUACGUG